UACAGAGGGGGGCGAGCGUUUGUUCGGAAUUACUGGGCGUAAAGGGCGCGUAGGCGGCCUCUUAAGUCGAACGUGAAAUCCCCGGGCUCAACCCGGGAACUGCGUCCGAUACUGGGGGGCUUGAAUCCGGGAGAGGGAUGUGGAAUUCCAGGUGUAGCGGUGAAAUGCGUAGAUAUCUGGAGGAACACCGGUGGCGAAGGCGGCG
rnacentral:rRNA from 1 species